rnacentral:misc_RNA from 1 species
ACACAGGAUAACCCGCUAUUGGUCUUCUAGUGCAAGUGGCAGAAAUGACCGCUUAUACAGAUCCCCUAAGUUUGGAUGCUGAGCUAGCGCGGUAGUGUAUUGGUGAGUCCUUCUCCCUUAGCUACGGUCCCAGCCCUAAAUACAUGAUGUAAACAAAA